AGCAGCCGCGGUAAUUCCAGCUCAAAUAGCGUAUAUUAAAGUUGCUGCAGUUAAAAAGCUCGUAGUUGAAUUUCGGGAUCAAUAUGUUGGUCGUGCCUCGGUACGUACUAGCUUAUUGGUUUCUCCCUUCUGACGAACCAUGAUGUCAUUUAUUUGGUGUUAUGGGAAAUCAGGACUGUUACUUUGAAAAAUUAGAGUGUUUAAAGCAGGCUCACGCUUGAAUACAUUAGCAUGGAAUAAUGAAAUAGGACGUUUGGUUCUAUUUUGUUGGUUUCUAGGAUCGACGUAAUGAUUAAUAGGGAUAGUUGGGGGCAUUAGUAUUCAAUUGUCAGAGGUGAAAUUCUUGGAUUUAUUGAAGACUAACUACUGCGAAAGCAUUUGCCAAGGAUGUUUUCAUUAAUCAAAGAACGAAAGUUAGGGGAUCGAAGACGAUCAGAUACCGUCGUAGUCUUAACCAUAAAACUAUGCCGACUAGGGAUCGGAUGAUGUUAAUUUUUUAAUGACUCAUUCGGCGCCUUAA
rnacentral:misc_RNA from 1 species